rnacentral:rRNA from 1 species
UACAGAGGGUGCAAGCGUUAAUCGGAAUUACUGGGCGUAAAGCGCGCGUAGGUGGUUUGUUAAGUCGGGUGUGAAAGCCCUCGGCUCAACCGAGGAAGUGCGCCCGAAACUGCAGAGCUUGAGUACCGGAGAGGGUGGCGGAAUUCCCCAAGUAGAGGUGAAAUUCGUAGAUAUGGGGAGGAACACCGGUGGCGAAGGCGGCCACCUGGACGGAUACUGACGCUGAGACGCGAAAGCGUGGGGAGCGAACAGG